CGAACUUUAACCAAAUGGGUUAAAGUGUCGAAGGAAAACGAUGGACAAGUUCCUCUUGCCGCCCGACAAGUUUGAAAGGGCGAAAAAUGAGUUAGAGAGUGUUAAAAUGGUUUUGGCGUCAACCGGCGCGAAGUAGAGCUGAAUCGAAGUCAAAACUGCAUUCUGGACGUCUUGUACCGGUACAAGGGUGAUGGUUGUGCCGGUACAAGCAGCG
rnacentral:lncRNA from 1 species